GACUCUGUAGCUCAGCUGGGAGAGCGCUACCCUGACACGGUAGAGGUCAUCGGUUCGAGACCGGUCAGAGUCACCA
rnacentral:tRNA from 1 species